rnacentral:rRNA from 1 species
AUUGAACGCUGGCGGCAGGCCUAACACAUGCAAGUCGAACGAGGGGCGGACGGGUGAGUAAUGUCUGGGAAACUCCCUGAUGGAGGGGUAUCACUACUGGAAACGGUAGCUAAUACCGCAUACUAUCAGAUGUGCCCAGAUGGGAUUAGCUAGUUGGUGGGGUAACGGCUCACCAAGGCGACGAUCCCUCGCUGGUCUGAGAGGAGGACCAGCCACACUGGGACUGAGACACGGUCCAGACUCCUACGGGAGGCAGCAGUGGGGAAGAUUGCACAAUGGGCGCAAGCCUGAUGCGGCCAUGCCGCGUGUAUGAAGAAGGCCUUCGGGUUGUAAAGUACUUUCAGCGGGGAGGCGUUACCCGCAGAAGAAGCACCGGCUAACUCCGUGCCAGCAGCCGCGGUAAUAC